AGAAUCGAACCCACGCCUCCUGCAUCCCCUGCACUGCAAGCUGAUUCUUCACUGCUGAGCCAUCGGGAAAGCCCUUAUUCCAAUUUCAAUUCGUUCAUUGUCAGUGAAUAUUUUUUGAGUGCCUGCCGCCUGCCCUGCCCUCUUCUAAGGUGCUGAGUACAGAAUAGUUGAUAUAAAUGGUUCCUGCCCUGAUGGAGCAUCCCUGCUGGUGUCAGAGGGUGAAGAGGGUAAUGAAAAAAACAGUGACAAAGAAAGACAGGAACAGUGUCCCGCACUAGACGACAGGUGGUUAGUCCCAGGCUCCUGACCGGAAGGUCCCACCCCUGGGGGCCUUCUUCCCAGCACUGCGGUGAGGGUGCUGGUGGGGAGUGGAGGAGUGGGCCUGAAGGAGACAUCUUCCCCUGCUGCCAUGACUACUGGGGCCGCAAAGGAGCUGCUCGGUGCUUGUGACAAAGUAGGCGGUGGGGGGUUGGGGGACACGUCUGUGCUCGCAACAAGUGUCAGCCCUGAGUGCAGGGCUGACCCCAAGUCUGCCCAAGGCCUGUUUCCGUGGGUCAGAGAAGGUCGCCACCGGCCUGGCCCCUUCAGACGACUCGCUGAUUCCCCCGGGGUUAGACGUCUUGGAAGCCGCCGCACCUUCUCUCAGGUUCGGUUAGAAAGUAUCCCUGGAUGCCUGCGGCAAUGUCCUCACCGUGGGGCCGCUGGAAGGACUUAGAAUCCGGGUGUCUUGACUCCCUUCCCUCCGAGGCUCGCGGCUCCUCGAGGGCCGAGCUGUGUUCCUGAGGGCGGCCGGGAACCAACCGUCAGAGGACGGCCGUUAUCGCCAGACAGUUAGCUUGCAAACAGUUCACGCGAGAUUGUUCAUGUGAGACCGAUCACGAGAGACCGCUGGCACGAGACCGGAAGUGGGGUGCGCAGAGGUCGUCUCAGCAGUGGUCAGUCAGGAGGGCGGUGAGAGGAGAAUAGGGCCUCUCCCCAGGACCCUAACUUGGGCCGGCGGGUGAGCUGGAAGCCCGGGGCCAGGCUUGUCCUGCGGGCUCCAGAUUGCCAUGGCCAGUGCCGGACCCCGGCCUUGAGGCAGGGGUGAACCUCUCCCCCACCCCCACCUCCGUGGGUCACAAAGGAGCCUGAGGGUCGGCUGGGUACUGGGCGCCCGGCUCCCUCAGUGAUGAUGGCUGGGCGGGGUCCGGGUGCCUGCUGCUGAGGACUCUGCCUGCUGAGACCUGCCACUUGAUCGGCACCGGGAGAGGAUCCAGACUGGAUGCUAGAUAAACACUCCAGGGCUGGGUAACCGACCCCGUGGGAACCCCCUCCUCUUAGCCAGGACCUGGACCUUGGACCGUGAAAGCGCAGCUUUUGGACCUUGCCCUUACUCGUCAGAACAGAAUAAUAUGUGUUUUAGCGGAGACGUGAAGGAACCUUUGCUACCUGACCAUGACUUGACCUCAAGGACAAAGGCUCUACCACCAAGAAGUUUGCAACUAACCAUGCCCCUCCCUCAGCUUUACUAGAAAAGGGCUUUGCUGAAAGCUUUGGGGAGUCCAGGGUUAUCUGGGCACGAGCCACUGGUCUCACUUCACGGCACUGCAACCUGUCUCUGUUCCAAACUCUGAUGUUUGACAGUUAUUCAGCCUUACCAUGCACUGGGCGUGCAUGUGACACCAGCACACACCAAGCCAGCCACAGACGUUUGCUGAAAUGAAGGAUGCCUUCUCCUGCCUCUUGAUGAAUGGUUCGGUCACUUUCAGAAGUUGCCCAGGGUUCAAAGACCAAUAACAUCCUACUUCUAGAGCUAAGGUGAGGUUUUUUGCAUCUCUUCUCCUGAAUUAAGCUGCUGCUUACACAAUAAACAGCGAUCUGGUGAAAACCUGGAGUCCCCUUUGUUUUAGAAAAGUUCCCUCCUACUUGACCUUGGUUGUCUUGGGAGGUUCAUGUAACUCCCACACGCAUCUAUGCAAGGUCCGAAGCCUGAAAUAAUGCCAUUACUGCUGUAUCAUCCAGUGAGGUCUGGAUCUGGUGGCACCAGUGGGCAAGGAUUUCUGGAAGGAGACAGAUGACUGUGAUGGGGAAAUACAGUAGACUGUGAACUUGAUCUGUGAUGGAAAUGCUUCUGGGCAACAUGGGGCUUCGGAAGCACAGGGAGAUCGUGGAUUGUUGCAAUGAAAGAAAUAUUAUAUAUAAUAUAAACAGAGACUCAAGAAAAUCUACCAUAGAGAUUAGAAGAUGAUAAGCAACCCUGCCUGCCACAUCAGGGAAGACACAGCAGAAACACCAACAAGAUCAGUCAAGGUUUGUGAGUCAAUCCAGUCCAUCUCUUUAAAAAUACCUCAGAAGGACAGACACUGAAAAAGACACUAGUAACACUUUUCACAAAUAUACCCAGUAAUUCUGCAAGAAAGGACUGGCUUUGAAGAAUGAUAUUCAUGAAGACCAGCCCACAAUCAUGGGAAAAAAAGAAAUGUGAUUCUGUGGUACUUCCUACUUUCCACCCAAAAGUAUCUGGCGAGCUUAUCAAAGCUGCUGGUGUUCAUAGGCUGGGAAAGACCACCCUUCUGCCUGCCUAGCACCCCCACUCCCCCAACUCAUGCUGAGCCUCAUUUAUUGGAUAAUUAAACACCGUCCUUUUAGUUUUCUUCAUGAAUGAUCCCCAACACCAGUUUCUAAUGUAAGAUUCUCUUACUGUUCUGAAGAAUCCGUCUGCACACAGGGUGCCAUCAAUAGGGAACGAACCUCUACUUAUGAAUCACCGCUGAGCAGAGUCAUAAUUCUGGGCAUGUCACAGCCUGUGUAGCCAGGAUCUCGGCGUAACUUCACAAUAACCCAUGACAUAAUGCUUAGCGUCUCCACUGACAGAGGAGGAAAUUAGAUGACUUUCUCAGCAACUGGGGGCAGAACUGACCUGGGGCCUGAGUCCCACUCUCAUCAGCCUUGCCUCCCUCUCUUGUGGAAGCUGGUAAACAUGGACCGAUGGAUGGCGUGGAGGGGCAGCAGAGAGAUGCAGACCAUGCAUCCUGUGUGGAGUGUGGUCUUCAUGGUAGAAGGCGUGGAGCUAGGUAUCUGACAAAAAAAUGCCUAGUCUAAAAAGUAACAAUUCCACUUCUUGGAAAUAAAAUUCAAUAAUUUCAUCUGA